AGGGCACCACCAGGAGUGGAGCCUGCGGCUUAAUUUGACUCAACACGGGAAAACUCACCCGGCCCGGACACUGGAAGGAUUGACAGAUUGAGAGCUCUUUCUUGAUUCAGUGGGUGGUGGUGCAUGGCCGUUCUUAGUUGGUGGAGUGAUUUGUCUGGUUAAUUCCGAUAACGAACGAGACUCUAGCCUAUUAAAUAGAUCGUUGGCUUACAAACGCCGGCGAGACUUCUUAGAGGGACAGGCGGCGAUUCAGCCGCACGAAACAGAGCAUUAACAGGUCUGUGAUGCCCUUAGAUGUCCGGGGCCGCACGCGCGCUACACUGAAGUGAUCAGCGUGCAUUUUGAAACCUACUCUGUCAAGAGUGGGGAACCCAAUGAACCUUCUUCGUGAUUGGGAUAGGGGAUUGUAAUUAUUCCCCUUGAACGAGGAAUUCCCAGUAAGCGCGAAUCAUAAGUUUGCGCUGAUUACGUCCCUGCCCUUUGUACACACCGCCCGUCGCUACUACCGAUUGAAUGUUU
rnacentral:rRNA from 1 species